rnacentral:rRNA from 1 species
UACGGAGGGGGGCUAGCGUUGUUCGGAAUUACUGGGCGUAAAGCGCACGUAGGCGGACUGUUAAGUCGGGGGGUGAAAUCCUGGGGCUCAACCUCAGAAUUGCCUCCGAUACUGGGAGUCUCGAGUGCGGGAGAGGUGAGUGGAAUUCCCAGUGUAGAGGUGAAAUUCGUAGAUAUUGGGAAGAACACCAGUGGCGAAGGCGGCUCACUGGCCCGUAACUGACGCUGAGGUGCGAAAGCGUGGGGAGCAAACAGG